GUCGCAUCUCGCUGAAACACUGGUUCCCGUAGAUCACCGAAGUUAAGCAACGUUGAGUCUGGUCAGUACCUAGAUGGGUGACUCCUUGGGAAUACCAAGUGCUGUAA